AUGCGGAUGGGACGCGGC
rnacentral:miRNA from 1 species